rnacentral:rRNA from 1 species
GCGAUCAGAGACCUCUAAUCGGAAAAGACUACCCGC